rnacentral:rRNA from 1 species
UACGUAGGGUGCGAGCGUUAUUCGGAAUUACUGGGCGUAAAGCGUGCGUAGGCGGUUCGUCAAGUCUGAUGUGAAAGCCCCGGGCUCAACCUGGGAACUGCAUUGGAAACUAGCGAGCUUGAGUGUGGCAGAGGGGGGUGGAAUUCCACGUGUAGCAGUGAAAUGCGUAGAGAUGUGGAGGAACACCGAUGGCGAGGGCAGCCCCCUGGGCUAACACUGACGCUCAGGCACGAAAGCGUGGGGAGCAAACAGG